rnacentral:tRNA from 1 species
GCGAAAGUGGCGGAAUUGGUAGACGCGCCGGACUUAGGAUCCGGUGGUUUCCAACCAUGGGGGUUCGAGUCCCCCCUUUCGCACCA